rnacentral:rRNA from 1 species
GACGAACGCUGGCGGCGUGCCUAAUACAUGCAAGUCGAGCGGAGCGGCGGACGGGCGAGUAAUGCCUAGGAAUCUGCCUGGUCGUGGGGGAUAACGUCCGGAAUCGGGCGCUAAUAUCGCAUACUAUCAGAUGAGCCUAGGUCGGAUUGGCUAGUUGGUGGGGUAAAGGCUUACCAAGGCGACGAUCCGUAACUGGUCUGAGAGAAUGAUCAGUCACACUGGAACUUAGAGACGGUCCAGACGCCUAGGGGAGGCAGCAGUGGAGAAUAUUGGACUAUGGGCGAAAGCCUGAUCCAGCCAUGCCGCGUGUGUGAAGAAGGUCUUCGGAUUGUAAAGCACUUUAAGUUGGGAGGCGUUACCAACAGAAUAAGCACCGGCUAACUACGUGCCAGCAGCCGCGGUAAUUC